rnacentral:rRNA from 1 species
UACGAAGGGGGCUAGCGUUGCUCGGAAUUACUGGGCGUAAAGCGCACGUAGGCGGCUUUCUAAGUCGGGGGUGAAAUCCUGGAGCUCAACUCCAGAACUGCCUUCGAUACUGGAGAGCUCGAGUCCGGGAGAGGUGAGUGGAACUGCGAAGUGUAGAGGUGAAAUUCGUAGAUAUUCGCAAGAACACCAGUGGCGAAAGGCG